ACGCGCCCGGCGGCCGCGCCCACGCGGCGCCCCUUCAAAAGUUACCCACGCGCCGGAGGGCGGCGCAGAGCAGCGCGGCGGCCACAACAGGAAAGAGAAAGACGGGACUCCCGGGACGGGGGGUGGGGGCUUCUCCGGAGUGACAGCCACGCUUUCCCAAGGGAAGCCCCGAAACCUUCUCUGCGAUCCGCCGACGGCUGCAGGGAGCGUCGCCCAUCCUUUCGGAGCGCCCGGGCAGAGGAGCCGGUCGCGUGUGGGCCCGCCAUGCCCACCCCGCCCCCCCUGCCAGGCUGGACCCCGCAGAGGCGCGUCUCCACACCCGAUGCCGACUCCCUGCGUGCGAGGGGCCCGGGCGGCACUGCACCCCGUGAUGCCGCCGAGGGGUGAUGCCCCAGGCUUCCCGCCCGCGAGAGCUGACAGGCCCAGCACUUUUCAACUGAGGUUAUGCUGCAUUAACUCAAGUCAUCUGCCUAGCAGCCAGGAAAGAAGAUAAGACAUUCCCUGAGGGGACACCUACCUCUUGCCUUGUUGAGGAAUAAAACAGCUGAGUAAAACUGGGAGUAUUUUUCUCCACAGUCAAAUGCCUUGUUCCUACCCCGGCACUUAGCCCCCAUUCAAACUCAUCCCGCCUCAAACUAUUCUGUAAGCUUUAUGCCUUGAGGACCAGGGGCCAUAGACAAUUCAUCAAAAUAAACACGAGAAAAAAACAAGGUUGGUGAUUGGCUUUCGUUUGCAAGGAUCAAAAUCAUGGCAUUAAACUUAGGAUUGGAGGGAUGCUAAAUUCCUCCAUGCACUACCCUCUCCAAACUCACUCAAAGAAGGGAAAAAAACUCAGCACUAAGUGAGCAGAAAAUAAAUCACAGUUGGAGAGAAAGCAAAAGAGAUAACUGCUGCUGAGAGUUUCAGAAGAGAGAUUCAAUAUUCUAAUUAGAGCAUAAUAGAACCCCUAGAAAAAAAUGUAUGUGUGCUAAAAAUGGAGAAGCCGGUACCCUACCUCCUGUCUGGUUAUCUUGAGAAAGUUCCAUUGUGUUGUUUGGACACUACGGCAUUAGAAAUUGGAGUAGAAAUAUCUGCACUGAGUAACCAGCCUGAUGGAUCUGAAACUACUUCACAGACAUUGUGGGCCACAGGAUCAAGCUAAUGGUUUUCUGGGUGUGAUUGAAAACAUUUGGGAAAUUACCGCAAGAGCUGACAGACUUUCUUGGCCUAAGAUGCAGUGUGAACUCUUUGAAGAGGUACUGGAGGGAAAUGCAGACACAUCAUCAGGUGUAAGCACGGAGGGUGAUGUCAGUAAAGGCCAAAAAAUAACAGGGUUAAUCUCAGUUCAUGCUAGCUGUGGACAGAUGCCCAUCAAGAAUCAGCUGUAUCCCCCAAGGCUGUGACAUGACUUAAGUUCCUUGGAGCUUAGCUGCAAUCCUGAGUAGAGGAGAAAAUGUUGUCUUAAAUCAUUUUAAAGCAUAAUGUCUGUAUACCUAGAAAAUGACUGAAGUUAAGGAUUUGGGGGAGAAAGUGCAUGUACCACCUGGCAAAACAAGAACUUAAGACAUAAAUUAAGUUCUGUUAUGGAAAAAUAAAGUCAUUUUCCCACA